CAGCUUGUUGGCGGGGUAACGGCCCACCAAGGCGACGAUCCGUAGCUGGUCUGAGAGGACGAUCAGCCACACUGGGACUGAGACACGGCCCAGACUCCUACGGGAGGCAGCAGUGGGGAAUCUUGCGCAAAUGCGGGAAACCGUGACGCAGCGACGCCGCGUGGGGGAAGAAGGCCUUCGGGUUGUAAACCUCUUUCAGGAGGGACGAAGCUACUCGGGUUAAUAGCCCAGAGGGUGACGGUACCUCCAGAAGAAGCCCCGGCUAACUACGUGCCAGCAGCCGCGGUAAUACGUAGGGGGCAAGCGUUGUCCGGAUUUAUUGGGCGUAAAGAGCGUGUAGGCCGCUUGGUAGGUCCGCUGUGAAAACCCGAGG
rnacentral:rRNA from 1 species